GAGAAUAGACGAAAGAAAGAUGAGUUGGAGUUAGCACUGAAAAAGAACAACCAACUGUUGGCGAAAAAAGAAGAUGAAUUGCAUAGCACUCGUAAAGAUCUUGAACAAGUUAGAGAAGAAGAAAAAAAAUUGAGACAGGAUUAUUAUCGUAUUUUGUCCUUAAACAAACAACUUGAGGAGGAAAAUAAACAAAAGAAAGAUGAGUUGGAAUUAACGCUGAAAAAGAACAACCAACUGCUUGCAAACAAAGAAGAUGAAUUGCAUAGCAUUCGUAAAGAUCUUGAAAAAGUUGGAGGAGAAGAAAAAAAAUUGGGACAGGAUUAUAAUAGUAUUUUGUUGUUAAACAAGCAACUUGAGGAGGAGAAUAGACGAAAAAAAGAUGAACUGGAAGUAGCAGCAAAAAAGAACAUCCAACAGCUGUCAAAGAACGAAAAUGAAUUACAUGGCGCUCGUAAAGAUCUUGAACAAGUUAGAGAAGAAGAAAAAAAAUUGAG